rnacentral:rRNA from 1 species
GAUGAACGCUGGCGGCGUGCCUAAUACAUGCAAGUCGAGCGAAUGGAUUAAGAGCUUGCUCUUAUGAAGUUAGCGGCGGACGGGUGAGUAACACGUGGGUAACCUGCCCAUAAGACUGGGACAACUCCGGGAAACCGGGGCUAAUACCGGAUAACAUUUUGAACCGCAUGGUUCGAAGUUGAAAGGCGGCUUCGGCUGUCACUUAUGGAUGGACCCGCGUCGCAUUAGCUAGUUGGUGAGGUAACGGCUCACCAAGGCAACGAUGCGUAGCCGACCUGGGAGGGUGAUCGGCCACACUGGGACUGGGACACGGCCCAGACUCCUACGGGAGGCAGCAGUAGGGAAUCUUCCGCAAUGGACGAAAGUCUGACGGAGUAACGCCGCGUGAGUGAUGAAGGCUUUCGGGUCGUAAAACUCUGUUGUUAGGGAAGAACAAGUGCUAGUUGAAUAAGCUGGCACCUUGACGGUACCUAACCAGAAAGCCACGGCUAACUACGUGCCAGCAGCCGCCGCAG